rnacentral:rRNA from 1 species
CGGGAAACUGGGGAUAAUACCCUAUAGACGAUGGAUGCUGGAAGGCUGCGUAGGUGAAAGGUCCGCCGCGGUAGGAUGGGUCUGCGGCCGAUUAGGUUGUUGUGGGGGUAACGGCCCAACAAGCCUGUAAUCGGUACGGGUUGUGGGAGCAAGAGCCCGGAGAUGGAGUCUGAGACACGAAUCCAGGCCCUACGGGGCGCAGCAGGCGCGAAAACUUUACAAUGCGGGAAACCGUGAUAAGGGAACUCUGAGUGCCCGUAAAAUCGGGCUGUCCAUCAGUUUAAAUAACUGGUGAAGAAAGGGCCGGGCAAGACCGGUGCCAGCCGCCGCGGUAACA